UACUAGUGCAUAAAAAGUGAAACUUUACACACCCUGCGAAGUGUGGGAAGUGAGGACUUUACGCACGGUAGUAGAAAAAAAAUUUUUUUUUUGAUAUUUCAUAAGAAUUAGAUCCAGAUCCAGACCGGAAGUUGAUCGAGUCGUAAAGUUUAUAAAUUAAUUAUUUUCUUCAGGGUUAAAAGAGUAUUAUCAAUAUACUAAAUUCUGGCAAAUAUUUUCUUUCUGGCCAUAACAGGAGAGCAGCUUAAGCGAGAUCUAAAAGAAGUUAUAUACGCUUGCUAUAAACAGAUAGGCGAACUGCAGAAGGUACCUGGAAAUACUGAAUUGAUAUCUGAACUACUGUUGCUAGCAAACCAAGCGCAUGAAAGAAACAAUAUCAUAUCUGGUUGUGGGUUGUUUCCUGUAGAUCAUUCGUUGAUUCAUUUUAUAGUCAGUACUGCUUGCACGUAUUUAACUGUCUUAGGUGGCAUAGUUGAUAAUUUUAAGCCACAUAAGUAUGAAUUAGAUGUCCAUAACCAUACUAAUGAUUCCGUAGUAUUAUCAAAUGUAACCGUUUAAGACACAAAAGAUGAAUGGACGUACAGAUGGCACUUUGUGAGUUUACCGCACGUUUUAAUAGCGGCUAUAAAUGUUGACUGUCUUCUCAAGUUUGUUAUUAAACUU